UAGGGAAUAUUGGUAAUAUGGGAAACCGGGAACCAGCAACGCCGCGUGCGCGAUGAAGGCCUUCGGGUUGUAAAGCGCUUUUUAAAGGGAUGAGGAAGGACAGUACCUUUAGAAUAAGCCUCGGCUAACUACGUGCCAGCAGCCGCGGUAAAACGUAGGAGGCGAGCGUUAUCCGGAUUUACUGGGCGUAAGGCGUGUGCAGGCGGUUUGAUAAGUUGGAUGUGAAAGCUCCUGGCUUAACUGGGAGAGGUCGUUCAAAACUAUCAGACUAGAGAGUGGUAGAGGGAGAUGGAAUUCCGCGUGUAGUGGUGAAAUGCGUAGAUAUGCGGAGGAACACCAGUGGCGAAAGCGGUCCCCUGGCCCAUUUCUGACGCUCAGACACGAAAGCUAAGGUAGCAAACGGG
rnacentral:rRNA from 1 species